rnacentral:rRNA from 1 species
UACCAGCUCUCCGAGUUGUAGGGAUGAUUAUUGGGCUUAAAGCGUCCGUAGCUGGCUUAGCAAGUCUCCUGUUAAAUUCAGCGACCUAAUCGUUGAGCCGCGGGAGAUACUAUUAGGCUAGGAGGCGGGAGAGGUCGACGGUACUUUCGGGGUAGGGGUGAAAUCCUAUAAUCCCGGGAGGACCACCAGUGGCGAAGGCUGUCGACUAGAACGCGCUCGACGGUGAGGGACGAAAGCUGGGGGAGCGAACCGGAUUAGAUACCCGGGUAGUCCCAGCUGUAAACUAUGCGGGCUAGGUGUUGGGGUGGCUACGGGCCACUUCAGUGCCGCAGGAAAGCCAUUAAGCCCGCCGCCUGGGGAGUACGGCCGCAAGGCUGAAACUUAAAGGAAUUGGCGGGGAGCACCACAAGGCGUGAAGCUUGCGGUUC